rnacentral:rRNA from 1 species
AUACAGAGGGUGCAAGCGUUAUUCGGAAUUACUGGGCGUAAAGCGCGCGUAGGCGGAUGAUUAAGUCAGUUGUGAAAGCCCUGGGCUCAACCUAGGAACUGCAUCUGAUACUGGUCGUCUAGAGUUUAGGAGAGGGAAGUGGAAUUCCAGGUGUAGCAGUGAAAUGCGUAGAUAUCUGGAGGAACAUCAGUGGCGAAGGCGACUUCCUGGCUUAAAACUGACGCUGAGGUGCGAAAGCGUGGGUAGCGAACGGAAGUAGAAACCCUAGUAGUCC